AAGGGAGAGGAACACGUGGGUAUCUACCCCCGGAUUCAGGAUAGCUAUGGGAAACUAUAGGUAAUACUGAAUAACGUCUCCGGACCAAAGGUGUGAUUCCGUCCGGGGAGGGGCCCGCGUCCUAUUAGCUAGUUGGCGAGGUAAUGGCUCACCAAGGCGAAGAUGGGUACGGGAUGUGAGAGCAUGAUCCCGCUCAUUGGGACUGAGACACUGCCCAGACACCUACGGGUGGCUGCAGUCGAGAAUCUUCGGCAAUGGGGGAAACCCUGACCGAGCGACGCCGCGUGUGAGAUGAAGGCCUUCGGGUUGUAAAUCACUGUCAGAGGGGAGGAAAUGCUAGUGGGUUCUCCCACUAGUUUGACCUAGCCUCAGAGGAAGGACGGGCUAAGUUCGUGCCAGCAGCCGCGGUAAGACGAACCGUCCAAACGUUAUUCGGAAUUACUGGGCUUAAAGGGUGCGUAGGCGGUCUGACAAGUUGGGUGUGAAAGCCCUCAGCUCAACUGAGGAACUGCGCCCAAAACUGUUGAACUCGAGGGAGACAUAGGUGAGCGGAACUUAGGGU
rnacentral:rRNA from 1 species